rnacentral:rRNA from 1 species
AGCGAACGCUGGCGGCAGGCUUAACACAUGCAAGUCGAGCGGGCGUAGCAAUACGUCAGCGGCAGACGGGUGAGUAACGCGUGGGAACAUACCUUUUGGUUCGGAACAACACAGGGAAACUUGUGCUAAUACCGGAUAAGCCCUUACGGGGAAAGAUUUAUCGCCGAAAGAUUGGCCCGCGUCUGAUUAGCUAGUUGGUGAGGUAAUGGCUCACCAAGGCGACGAUCAGUAGCUGGUCUGAGAGGAUGAUCAGCCACAUUGGGACUGAGACACGGCCCAAACUCCUACGGGAGGCAGCAGGUGGGGAAUAUUGGACAAUGGGCGCAAGCCUGA